GAUAAACGCUGGCGGCGUGCCUUACGCAUGCAAGUCGAACGGUGUCCUUCGGGGCACAGUGGCGGACGGGUGAGUAACACGUACGUGACCUAACGCAAAGGGGGGGAUACCCGCCCGAAAGGGUGGCUAAUACCGCAUGUGGUCGUCGGGGGGAGCCCGAUGAGUAAAGGACUUCGGUCCGCUUUGUGAGGGGCGUGCGGCCGAUUAGCUAGUUGGUGGGGUAAGGGCCUACCAAGGCGACGAUCGGUAGCUGGGCUGAGAGGCCGAACAGCCACAC
rnacentral:rRNA from 1 species